rnacentral:rRNA from 1 species
CCUACGGGAGGCAGCAGUGGGGAAUUUUGCGCAAUGGGGGAAACCCUGACGCAGCGACGCCGCGUGGAGGAUGACGGCCUUCGGGUUAUAAACUCCUGUCAGAGGGGACGAAAUCCCGCAAGGGACUGACGGUACCCUCAGAGGAAGCCCCGGCUAACUACGUGCCAGCAGCCGCGGUAAUACGUAGGGGGCAAGCGUUACUCGGAAUUACUGGGCGUAAAGGGUGAGUAGGCGGCUGGGCAAGUCAAGGAUGAAAUCCCGAGGCUCAACUUCGGAACUGUCCUUGAAACUGCUCAGCUUGAGGGUAGUUGAGGAGAGCGGAAUUCCCGGUGGAGCGGUGAAAUGCGUAGAUAUCGGGAGGAACACCUGAGGCGAAGGCGGCUCUCUAAGCUACUCCUGACGCUGAAUCACGAAAGCUAGGGGAGCAAACG